rnacentral:rRNA from 1 species
AGAGUUUGAUCCUGGCUCAGGACGAACGCUGGCGGCGCGCUUAACACAUGCAAGUCGAGCGAUAACCAUGGCUUCGGCCAUGGGGAGAGCGGCGAACGGGUGAGUAACACGUGAGUAAUCUGCCCUCGACACUGGGAUAGCCCGGGGAAACCCGGAUUAAUACCGGAUAGCCUCUCGAGCUUUCGGGCUCGUGAGAAAAGAUGGCUUCGGCAUUCGGUUGAGGAGGAGCUUGCGGCGGAUUAGCUUGUUGGUGAGGUAACGGCCCACCAAGGCGACGAUCCGUAGCUGGUCUGAGAGGACGAUCAGCCACACUGGGACUGAGACACGGCCCAGACUCCUACGGGAGGCAGCAGUGGGGAAUCUUGCGCAAUGGGCGAAAGCCUGACGCAGCGACGCCGCGUGAGGGAAGAAGGCCUUCGGGUUGUAAACCUCUUUCAGUAGGGAAGAAGCGAAAGUGACGGUACCUGCAGAAGAAGCGCCGGCUAACUACGUGCCAGCAGCCGCGGUAAUACGUAGGGCGCAAGCGUUAUCCGGAAUUAUUGGGCGUAAAGAGCUCGUAGGCGGUUUGUCGCGUCUGCCGUGAAAGUCCGGGGCUCAACUCCGGAUCUGCGGUGGGUACGGGCAGACUAGAGUGAUGUAGGGGAGACUGGAAUUCCUGGUGUAGCGGUGAAAUGCGCAGAUAUCAGGAGGAACACCGAUGGCGAAGGCAGGUCUCUGGGCAUUAACUGACGCUGAGGAGCGAAAGCAUGGGGAGCGAACAGGAUUAGAUACCCUGGUAGUCCAUGCCGUAAACGUUGGGCACUAGGUGUGGGGGACAUUCCACGUUUUCCGCGCCGUAGCUAACGCAUUAAGUGCCCCGCCUGGGGAGUACGGCCGCAAGGCUAAAACUCAAAGGAAUUGACGGGGGCCCGCACAAGCGGCGGAGCAUGCGGAUUAAUUCGAUGCAACGCGAAGAACCUUACCAAGGCUUGACAUGAACCGGAAAUACCUGGAAACAGGUGCCCCGCUUGCGGUCGGUUUACAGGUGGUGCAUGGUUGUCGUCAGCUCGUGUCGUGAGAUGUUGGGUUAAGUCCCGCAACGAGCGCAACCCUCGUUCUAUGUUGCCAGCGCGUUAUGGCGGGGACUCAUAGGAGACUGCCGGGGUCAACUCGGAGGAAGGUGGGGACGACGUCAAAUCAUCAUGCCCCUUAUGUCUUGGGCUUCACGCAUGCUACAAUGGCCGGUACAAAGGGUUGCGAUACUGUGAGGUGGAGCUAAUCCCAAAAAGCCGGUCUCAGUUCGGAUUGGGGUCUGCAACUCGACCCCAUGAAGUCGGAGUCGCUAGUAAUCGCAGAUCAGCAACGCUGCGGUGAAUACGUUCCCGGGCCUUGUACACACCGCCCGUCAAGUCACGAAAGUUGGUAACACCCGAAGCCGGUGGCCUAACCCCUUGUGGGAGGGAGCUGUCGAAGGUGGGACUGGCGAUUGGGACUAAGUCGUAACAAGGUAACCGUAA